UUGAGCCUACGGGACGCAGCAGUGAGGAAUAUUGGUCAAUGGGCGCGAGCCUGAACCAGCCACGUCGCGUGAGGGAUGACGGUCCUACGGAUUGUAAACCUCUUUUGCCGGGGAGCAAGCGUGCGUUCGUGAACGCGCGUCGAGAGUACCCGGAGAAAAAGCAUCGGCUAACUCCGUGCCAGCAGCCGCGGUAAUACGGAGGAUCCGAGCGUUAUCCGGAUUUAUUGGGUUUGAAGGGAGCGUAGAUGGGUUGUUAAGUCAGUUGUGAAAGUUUGCGGCUCAACCGUAAAAUUGCAAUUGAUACU
rnacentral:rRNA from 1 species